AAUUGAAUAAUAGAUGUCAAAAGUGUAUUUUUAUGCAAAAUAAACCAUGGAGAUUUUUCGACAAAACUUCUUAUUUUUCGCUAAUCUUAAGCCUUUGACAACUUUUUUGGGUAUAUGUCAUACUAUAAAGUGUAUAGAAAAUCUAUACAAAGAUUCGCAUGAUGAAGGGAUUGUGAAAGGCAUGUUAGGAAAAGUAAAAUGGUUUAACGCAGAAAAAGGUUUUGGAUUUAUUGAGCGCGAAGACGGGGACGAUGUGUUCGUACACUUCUCUGCAAUCAACACUGACGGAUUCAAAAGCCUUGACGAAGGUCAGCAAGUCGAGUUUGAUAUUGUAGAUGGAGCUCGUGGGCCUCAAGCGGCUAACGUAACUAAACUAUAAUUCAAGGCACUAUGACCAUACUUUUAAUCCCGUCUGUUACCGCAGGCGGGUUUUUA
rnacentral:sRNA from 1 species